GAUGAACGCUGGCGGCGUGCUUAACACAUGCAAGUCGAACGGAAAGGCUCCUGCUUGCAGGGGUACUCGAGUGGCGAACGGGUGAGUAACACGUGGGUGAUCUGCCCUGCACUUCGGGAUAAGCCUGGGAAACUGGGUCUAAUACCGGAUAGGACGAUGGUUUGGAUGCCAUUGUGGAAAGUUUUUCGGUGUGGGAUGAGCUCGCGGCCUAUCAGCUUGUUGGUGGGGUAAUGGCCUACCAAGGCGUCGACGGGUAGCCGGCCUGAGAGGGUGUACGGCCACAAUGGGACUGAGAUACGGCCCAGACUCCUACGGGAGGCAGCAGUGGGGAAUAUUGCACAAUGGGCGCAAGCCUGAUGCAGCGACGCCGCGUGGGGGAUGACGGCCUUCGGGUUGUAAACUCCUUUCGCUAGGGACGAAGCGCAAGUGACGGUACCUGGAGAAGAAGCACCGGCUAACUACGUG
rnacentral:rRNA from 1 species